UACGUAGGGAGCAAGCGUUGUCCGGAAUCAUUGGGCGUAAAGCGCGCGUAGGCGGCCCCGUAAGUCCGCUGUGAAAGUCAAAGGCUCAACCUUUGAAAGCCGGUGGAUACUGUGGGGCUAGAAUCCGGAAGAGGCGAGUGGAAUUCCUGGUGUAGCGGUGGAAUGCGCAGAUAUCAGGAGGAACACCAAUAGCGAAGGCAGCUCGCUGGGACGGUACUGACGCUAAGGCGCGAAAGCGUGGGGAGCGAACAGG
rnacentral:rRNA from 1 species